CGUAACUCCUGCCUUCAUGGUCUUGAUUGAGAGGAGUUUCUGGUAACUCCUGUCCGUUUCUGUCUCCUUCACCGCAAAGAGUCGCGACCUUUCUGUUCCGCGCCUGGCCUUCCUCCUUCUGCUCUCCUAUAAAAGGACCCGCACUCUCUCGGUUCUCUUACGAAGAAAAAAAACCACAUCCAGUUGCGUAAGUCCUUUCCGUUCCAUCUCCGGCGAGCACCAGAGAUGGAAGAGUAGGCCUCCGGAACGCGUCUCCGUCGUGCGCUUCAUCUGUUCGGGUGAGGACGGGCGAUUACGUUUUUGGGGAGUGUCAUUGGCGACACGACUACUCGCUGGUGAUUCUGCGGCGACUAUAUGGUAACCUUUUCGGCACUGCAUCGAGCGGGACGACUACAACGACAAAGCACCACCAUGACUUUUCCCGGUGCGAGUGGUUCUGCCGCAGGGUCGGGAGGAGUGGAGCCUUGCUGAUGGAGAAUGGUGCGCGUGCUGGUGUUCAUGGUGUUGGUACGGUGGAUCUGAAGCUUACUUCGGGGAAGACCGUGCAACUCAAGAACGUGCAUCAUGUCCCCUCCAUAAGGAAAAAUCUGACUAGUGGCUCUUUGCUAUGUCGUGAUGGCUUUAAACUUGUGUUUGAGUCUAAUAAAUAUGUAAUGUCAAAGUAUGGAACCUUUGUUGGAAAGGGCUAUGAAAGCGGAGGCUUGUUCCGCUUGUCGCUAGUUGACGCUUUACCUCUUGCCGUGAACAAUGUGGUUAAUAACGUUAAUGUUGAGAUGAAUGUUUGGCAUU